UUUUCGCCUGUUUAUCAAAAACAUAGCCCUAAGACAGUUAUUUAGGGUACAACCUGCCCAGUGAAAGAAUUUUAACGGCCGCGGUACCCUGACCGUGCUAAGGUAGCGUAAUCAGUUGACUUUUAAAUGAAGUCUAGUAUGAAUGGAUUUAUGGGGUUAAGCUGUCUCUUUCCUACUCUAUUUAACUUACUAAUUAGGUGAAAAGGCCUAAAAUUGAUAAAAGACGAGAAGACCCUGGGAGUUUUGAUGAAAAUUUUGGUUGGGGCGACAAGAGAACAGCUAACUUCUCUAGGUUUAUUUUUAUGUGCCGGAGCUUACAAGAGUGAUUAAACUACCCCAGGGAUAACAGCAUAAUCCUUUCUGGGUUUGUGACCUCGAUGUUGGACUAGGAAAUUCUUGUGGCUAGCCGCCCAAGAAGAAAGUUCUGUUCGAACUAUAUUUUCUUACGUGAUCUGAGUUCAGACCGGAA
rnacentral:rRNA from 1 species